CAAACCCUGGGCUGUGUUUCCAUAUGUUCACAGUCUAUAGGUAUUGAAAUGCUUACCUAUACUUUAGGAGGAAAAAAAAACCCACAACAUUUUGCAAAAAUUGAAUAAAUGAUCAUUCGAAGCAAAAGCAUGCAGUUCAAAAGCUAAACCUCCCAUUGGAGAACAGAAAAUUUAAUGAGCUUUUAAUGGAAUGCAAUGCUCAGAGUAGUAAAUUAUUUGUUAGUUGACGAUGCAAUCAGCAUGCUGAUUAAGGUUGCUUGGUUUUUUACUAAACAUUAACUGAAUGAAAACGGGUAGUCCUUGUUCUGCUUGGGGGGCUUUAAGGAAGCAAAUGGACUUUCAGAACAGAGAUUGUCAAUAAAGGAAUACCCAUCUCAAGCUCUGGAUGUGUCUCUGAAAAAGUGUCCACAAUGCUGACCACACUGGAGGCCAAUGCAGAAACUGGGGGAAGGUUCGCAGCAGCUGGGUGUGGACAUGCUGAUCUCUGAGCUUGAUGCAGCACUGUUAAUCUCUCCUCCAGAGCUGGAUAGAGGCCUGAACUGAAGCACUGAAAGAUGCCUUGCCAAUUCAAGGCAAGGUCUUUAUUGUUGAAACUCUUGCAUAAUGACAUCUUUAUUCAUGUGAAAAUACAGGAUGAAUUUCAACUGUGUGAAAUUGUUUAUGUUCGUCGGAAAUGUUAUUUGUCUUUACAAAGUCUGGUUUCAAUGAACCAGCUAUGUAAUGGAUAUUAAAUAAACAUGGAAUUUUACACGUUCAUAA